UGGGGAAUAUUGCACAAUGGGCGCAAGCCUGAUGCAGCCAUGCCGCGUGUAUGAAGAAGGCCUUCGGGUUGUAAAGUACUUUCAGUCGGGAGGAAGGUGUCAAGGUUAAUAACCUUGGCAAUCGACGUUACCGACAGAAGAAGCACCGGCUAACUCCGUGCCAGCAGCCGCGGUAAUACGGAGGGUGCAAUCGUUAAUCGGAAUUACUGGGCGUAAAGCGCACGCAGGCGGUUGAUUGAGUCAGAUGUGAAAUCCACGGGCUUAACCCGGGAUUUGAAACUGAUAAUGGUCAGCUAGAGUAUUGUAGAGGGGGGUAGAAUUCCAUGUGUAGCGGUGAAAUGCGUAGAAAUGUGGAGGAAAACCGGGGGCGAGGGCAGCCGCCUGGACAAAGAAUGACGAUAAGGAGCGAAAGCGUGGGGAGCAAACAGG
rnacentral:rRNA from 1 species